UACGGAGGGGGCGAGCGUUGUCCGGAAUCACUGGGCGUAAAGGGCGCGUAGGUGGCGUCGCAAGUCAACGGUGAAAGCUCGACGCUCAACGUCGAGUCGGCCGUCGAGACUGCGAGGCUUGAGCACUGUAGAGGCAGAUGGAAUUCCGGGUGUAGCGGUGGAAUGCGUAGAGAUCCGGAGGAAUACCGGUGGCGAAGGCGGCAUCCUGGACCGGCAUUGACGCUGAGGAGCGAAAGCUAGGGGAGCAAACAGG
rnacentral:rRNA from 1 species